ACGAACGCUGGCGGCGUGCUUAACACAUGCAAGUCGAGCGGAAAGGCCUUUCGGGGUACUCGAGCGGCGAACGGGUGAGUAACACGUGAGCAAUCUGCCUUUCACUCUGGGAUAACCCUCGGAAACGGGGGCUAAUACCGGAUAUUACUGCUGGUCGCAUGGCUGGUGGUGGAAAGUUUUUUCGGUGGAAGAUGAGCUCGCGGCCUAUCAGCUUGUUGGUGGGGUGAUGGCCUACCAAGGCUUCGACGGGUAGCCGGCCUGAGAGGGCGACCGGCCACACUGGGACUGAGACACGGCCCAGACUCCUACGGGAGGCAGCAGUGGGGAAUAUUGCACAAUGGGCGGAAGCCUGAUGCAGCGACGCCGCGUGAGGGAUGACGGCCUUCGGGUUGUAAACCUCUUUCAGCAGGGACGAAGCGUGAGUGACGGUACCUGCAGAAGAAGCGCCGGCCAACUACGU
rnacentral:rRNA from 1 species